UAGCUAGUUGGUGAGGUAAAGGCUUACCAAGGCGACGAUCUGUAGCGGGUCUGAGAGGAUGAUCCGCCACACUGGAACUGAGACACGGUCCAGACUCCUACGGGAGGCAGCAGUGGGGAAUUUUGGACAAUGGGGGCAACCCUGAUCCAGCCAUGCCGCGUGAGUGAAGAAGGCCUUCGGGUUGUAAAGCUCUUUCGGCCGGGAAGAAAUCGCAUGGGCCAAUACCCUGUGUGGAUGACGGUACCGGAAUAAGAAGCACCGGCUAACUACGUGCCAGCAGCCGCGGUAAUACGUAGGGUGCGAGCGUUAAUCGGAAUUACUGGGCGUAAAGCGUGCGCAGGCGGUUUUGUAAGACAGGCGUGAAAUCCCCGGGCUUAACCUGGGAACUGCGUUUGUGACUGCAAGGCUAGAGUACGGCAGAGGGGGGUGGAAUUCCACGUGUAGCAGUGAAAUGCGUAGAGAUGUGGAGGAACACCAAUGGCGAAGGCAGCCCCCUGGGUCGAUACUGACGCUCAUGCACGAAAGCGUGGGUAGCAAACAGGAUUAGAUACCCUGGUAGUCCACGCCCUAAACUAUGUCAACUAGGUGUUGGGUGGGUAAAACCAUUUAGUACCGUAGCUAACGCGUGAAGUUGACCGCCUGGGGAGUACGGCCGCAAGGUUAAAACUCAAAGGAAUUGACGGGGACCCGCACAAGCGGUGGAUGAUGUGGAUUAAUUCGAUGCAACGCGAGAAACCUUACCUACCCUUGACAUGCCAGGAACUUGCCAGAGAUGGCUUGGUGCCCGAAAGGGAGCCUGGACACAGGUGCUGCAUGGCUGUCGUCAGCUCGUGUCGUGAGAUGUUGGGUUAAGUCCCGCAACGAGCGCAACCCUUGUCGUUAAUUGCCAUCAUUUAGUUGGGCACUUUAACGAGACUGCCGGUGACAAACCGGAGGAAGGUGGGGAUGACGUCAAGUCCUCAUGGCCCUUAUGGGUAGGGCUUCACACGUCAUACAAUGGUCGGUACAAAGGGUUGCCAAGCCGCGAGGCGGAGCCAAUCCCAGAAAGCCGAUCGUAGUCCGGAUUGCAGGCUGCAACUCGCCUGCAUGAAGUCGGAAUCGCUAGUAAUCGUGGAUCAGCAUGUCACGGUGAAUACGUUCCCGGGUCUUGUACACACCGCCCGUCACACCAUGGGAGCGGGUUCCGCCAGAAGUAGGUAGCCUAACCGCAAGGGGGGCGCUUACCACGGCGGGGUUCGUGACUGGGGUGAAGCCGUAACAAGGUAGCCGUAGGGGAACCUGCGGCUG
rnacentral:rRNA from 1 species